GAUGAACGCUGGCGGCGUGCCUAAUACAUGCAAGUCGAGCGAACAGACGAGGAGCUUGCUCCUCUGACGUUAGCGGCGGACGGGGGAGUAACACGUGGAUAACCUACCUAUAAGACUGGGAUAACUUCGGGAAACCGGAGCUAAUACCGGAUAAUAUAUUGAACCGCAUGGUUCAAUAGUGAAAGACGGUUUUGCUGUCACUUAUAGAUGGAUCCGCGCCGCAUUAGCUAGUUGGUAAGGUAACGGCUUACCAAGGCAACGAUGAGUAGCCGACCUGAGAGGAUGAUCGGCCACACUGGAACUGGGACACGGUCCAGACUCCUACGGGAGGCAGCAGUAGGGAAUCUUCCGCAAUGGGCGAAAGCCUGACGGAGCAACGCCGCGUGAGUGAAGAAGGUCUUCGGAUCGUAAAACUCUGUUAUUAGGGAAGAACAAAUGUGUAAGUAACUAUGCACGUCUUGACGGUACCUAAUCAGAAAGCCACGGCUAACUACGUG
rnacentral:rRNA from 1 species